UAUUAGGUAAUGUUCUUUUAUGGUUGACUCAAUCGCGAGUUGAACACAAUUAGAUUAAAAUUUAAAGACACUUUGAAUUCUCAUAGUUAGUUAUUAUGGAUUGAAUAUUAUGCUACGAGAAAACGUCAUUAUAGGCUAUUUUACCAAUGUGCAAACGUGGCGACCGCUCAAGAGGCAUUGCAUGGUAAUUUGAGAUUCCGAUGUUGAUGCGAUUUUAUUACCCCGACUUAUUGGCAGGUUAUAUCCAAAAACCCAUUUUUUCAGGCUUAAAAACAGGCCUCGUCUUAUUUACCGGGUAGACUUAUUCGCCGGGAAAUACGGUAUCUAGCAAAAAAUUUAAAUAUUAAUAAUGUUAGCGUUUACUUAGAGGAAAAAUCUGAAAUAGUACAAAAUUCUGAGACAAAUAUUUACUUUUGUUUUAUAGCUUUACAAUUGUAAAAAGGUAAUACAAUCAAGUAUUUGACCCGCCCAUAAAUGUUGUUCUCAUCGUUAUGUGUUUUUAGUAGUUACCUACUUCUCAACCCAUGAACCAUCCCUGGGUCAUCAGUCUAUUUUACAAGACUUAGGUCUCAAGUCUUUGAAUCUUGUUCUUGUUUUUUGGGAUCUUUUGAUGAUGAGAUGGUUUCUAAUCUAUUAUCAUACUUGUUUACAGGGUGGUUGAAUAUGUGAGGAUGUGCUGCCCUCUCAUAAAACAAAUAUUUAUGAAACAAGUGAAUAUCUUUCAUAGGAAAUAUUUUUAUUAUGAACACACUAAAUUGAAAUGGUGCGUUUUAGUAUGCUCACAACAACAAACUUCAUCAUAAAUAUGGCACAGAAAAAGGAGUGUCAGGCAUCUGUAAGAAGUUAAAGACCUCAUUCCACAAAAAAGGAAAAUUGUAUUGCAUGAAGAUGACUGAAUGAGCAAUUUUUGUUUGUUAGUUGUGAAAUUUUAGAUAAAUUUUACAAUUCACAAUGAACACGAAUUUGCACAGAAAAAGUUUUCAGCUCAGCUCGUUUCUAUCAAUCAAAUCACAUGAAUACAAACCAGAGCAUUGUGGCUUCACUCAAGCAUCAGACAAAGUCUUUAGUUCUCAACAUAAGAUUCCAACAAACUCAAAGAUGAAAGGGUACAAGGGUACAGGAUGAGAUUAUCAUUUUGCAAAGACCAGGGACGAAAGAAAAGACCAAUUUGGAGCAAAUGGUUGGGUAGUCCAGAAUUUUUAAGCUUUGUAUUAGUUUGUAUUGAAUUAUGUCUGUAACGAAAUCAGUUAUUACUACAAAUCCUUCUGUUACAUUGAACACAAAAGGCUGUUUGUGUCUUAAAUAACUUACACAUUUUAUGCUGACAUAAUUGACAUAUAAUUGUUUGUAAAUGUCACACGUUUUGUUUUACUUUAACCAUAUCAGGAAGCAGGUAGAUAUAUAUAUUUUAUGCUGACCCAGAAAAAUCUUUAAGGCAUCAACCACUCCUUAUUUUCCAUAGAAUUUUAAAUGGAUAGUCAUUUUAAUAAUUGAUGCCAAUCUCUUAAAAAUGGCUUCAAUUUAUUUUUUAUAUUAGCUUAAUAUCAUGAAAAUGAUUUUUCAAUCUUCUUCAAAUUUAGCUUGAUUUACAUGUUUUUAUACAUAUUUAUCCAAUUAUGUCAUCGAUAUGAUUAUGAUUAUUUUUACUUAACAUGUUUGAAUUUAUUUGUCUGUAAAUUGAAUAUUUUGAUAUUAAGUCAUAUUUUUCUCCAACUUUUGCAAAUUUUUUUUCAAGUUAUUUGUGAUAAUCAUAUUGAUUAAUAUCUUUUGGUCGCCACUAGUUCAAAAAAGAUGAGGAAAAUUUUAGAAUCCACUUUUUAUUGCAUCAAUGUUUCCCCAUUUCCCAUAGAAUGAUAAAUGGAUAGUCAUUUUAAAAACUGAUGCCAAUCUCUUAAAAAGGGCUUCAAUUUAUUUGGAAUUAACUUAAUAUCAUGAAAAUAAUUUUUUAAUCUUUUUCAAAUUCAGCUUCAUAAACACGUUUUUAUACAUAUUUAUUAAUCCAAUUAUGCCAUCGAUAUGAUUAUGAUUAUUUUACUUAACAUCUUUGAAUUUAUUUGUCUGUAUAUUGAAUAUUUUGAUAUUAAGUCAUAUUUUACUGAAACUUUAGCAAAUUUUUUUCCAAGUUGUUUGUGAUAAUCACAUUGAUUAGUAUCUUUUGGUCGCCACUAGAAAUCCAAAAGAUGAGGAGAAUUUUAGAAUCCACUUUUUAAGGCAUCAAUGUCCCCUUAUUUCCCAUAGCAUGACAAAUGGAUAUUCAUUUUAAAAAUUGAUGCCAAUCUCUUAAAAAGGGCUUCAAUUUAUUUGGAAUUAACUUAAUAUCAUGAAAAUAAUUUUAUAAUCUUUUUCAAAUUUA